rnacentral:rRNA from 1 species
GACGAACGCUGGCGGCGUGCUUAACACAUGCAAGUCGAACGGAAAGGCCCUGCUUGCUGGGUCUUCGAGUGGCGAACUGGUGAGUAGCACGUGGGUGCUCUGCCCUGCACUUCGUGAUAGGCGUGGGCGACUGGGUCUAUUACCUGAUAGGGACCAUCUUUUAUGGGGUGGUUGGAAAGUUCUUUCGGUGUAGGAUGAGUUCGCGGCCUAUCAGCUUGUUGGUGGGGUAAUGACCUACCAAGGCGGCGAGGGGUAGCCGGCCUGAGAGAGUGUACGGCCACAUUGGGACUGUGAGACAGGCCAGAGUCCUGCAGGAGGGAGCAGUGGGGCAUAUUGCACAAAGGGCGCAAGCGUGAGGCAGCGACGCCGCGUGGGUGAUGAAGGCCUUCGUGUUGUAAACACCGCUCGCGAGGGACGAAGCUUUGUUGUGACGGUACCUAGAUAAGAAGCACCGGCUAACUACGUG